GCUUUUGGGCUGCGCUUAUAGAAUAACACCUUGACAGGAUCGAGGCUAAUUCAGCUAAACGAACUAUCUGAAUGCAACACUUUUGGAAGAUGCCUAGAUUUUCUCCUGUAACUCGUGUAAAAAGACCAGACGGGUACGGCCAGCUUUAAUGCUGAGUUGAUCUAUGAUCAAUGUCCAAAUUGUGAAGAUGGAAAUGCGUUGGUACUCUCAUUACAUCGGUUAACAUGAUGACGUAUGGUGUAGAAAGCAGAGAGGCGGAUGAAGACACGGUCGUUGGACAUUGGAGGACCUUUUCCGAAGAAAUGGAGCCUUCUCCGAAAUGCUUCCAGUGUUGCACAGACAAGAUUCUCGAUGUCCUCCGACUCGUCAACGAUACCUCAAAUGGCUCGAUAAGGAAGCAGCUCCCCGUGGGUGUCUCGUGAUUUUCAUUUUUCCGCGGUGGUAAGGGGUGCAGAUGCUUGAACUCCGAUGGCCGGGUUUCACGACUGCAAUCUCCCGGCUGAUCGACGAAUGCAAGAACAUGAGAGAGCUCAAACAAAUCCAUGCCCAGCUAACCAAAUCACCAUACAUUCCCAGCCACGAAGCUCGUUCCCUCAUCACUCGCCUCCUCUUCUUCUGUGCUCUUUCUCCUUCUGGCUCUCUUAGCUAUGCCACCUCUGUUUUUAGGUGCAUAAAUAAUCCGAAUCUCUAUAUCUACAACAUCAUGAUUAGAGCUUAUUCGUCUAAGAUAGACGCCCACAACAGGGAGCUUGGGUCCUGUCGUUCUCUUGGUUUGUAUAACCGGAUGCUUGUCGAUGGCAUUUCACCUGAUUGCCUCACUUUUCCGUUCCUUUUGAAGGAGUGUGCAAGUCGAGUUGACACUGACACAGGACAGGCCAUUCAUGGCCAAGUCGUAAAGUUUGGAUUUGGUUGUGAUAUUUACAUUAACAAUUCCAUGAUUUCUAUGUAUUCUGCGCGGUGUUGUCUCUCACACAGUGCUCGCAAGUUGUUCGAUGAAAUGUUGGACAAGGAUGUUGUUUCGUGGAACUCGAUGAUUAUGGGGUAUUUGAGAAGUGGAAAUCUGGAUGCGGCGUUGGACCUAUAUAGGAGGAUGGAGCAAAGGAAUAUUGUAACUUGGAAUUCGAUCAUUACAGGUUUUGCUCAAGGGGGUAGGCCGAAGGAGGCUUUGCAAUAUUUCCAUGAAAUGCAAAGUGCUGGCGGUGUUGUUGUUAAGCCCGAUAAGAUUACCAUAGCAAGCAUCCUCUCAGCUUGUGCUUCUCUUGGUGCGCUUGAUCAUGGGGAACGGGUGCAUACCUACUUGAGUAGAAGUGGCAUAGAGUGUGACGUGGUAAUUCAAACAGCUUUAAUUGAUAUGUAUGGUAAAUGCGGAGCUGUGGAUAGAGCACUUGAGAUCUUUAGGAAAAUGCCCAAUAAGGACAGCUUGGCAUGUACGGCUAUGAUAUCUGUGUUUGCACUUCAUGGAUCAAGUGAAGAGGCUUCUAGUCUUUUCGAAGAGAUGGAAAAAUUAGGAAUGAAACCCAACCAUGUGACCUUUGUUGCGCUUUUGUCUGCUUGUGCCCAUUCAGGUUUGGUCCAGAAAGGCCGCUGGUAUUUUUAUGUGAUGAACAGUGUUUACUCAAUGGAGCCUCAGGUUUAUCACUAUGCUUGCAUGGUCGAUAUGCUUGGCAGAGCAGGACUUUUUGAAGAGGCUGAAUGUCUCAUCGAAAAGAUGCCCAUGGAGCCUGAUGUGUUUGUUUGGGGUGCACUGCUUGCUGCCUGUCAAAUGCAUGGUAAUGUUGAGUUAGGAGAAAGGGUGGCAAAGUACUUAAUUGUUUUGGAUCCUCUGAACCAUGUAUUCUAUGUGAGCUUGCGAGAUAUGUAUGCCAAAGCUGGUAGAAUCAAGGAUUUAAAGGUCAUUAAGUCGCUCAUGAAAGGGAGACAAAUAAGGAAAGAAGUUCCUGGACAAAGCAUGAUAGAAAUUGAUGGGAUUGUUCAUGAAUUCUCAGUGAGAGGAUCAUCUGAAGUGAGGAUGGAGGAAUUGCUCUUUGUUUUGACUUGUCUAUGUGAUCAAUGCUGAUGUAUACGUGGAUUGUUUAAGUGACAGCUGGAUGCGUGUUCUCUAAAGAUCAAGACGACUCUUCUGUUCCUCUGCCUUACUCAAAUGUCAGGACAACAGAAGCUUUUCCAGGACUUCAGAAAUGCCAUUAGUUUCUGGGAAACUCCUGUAAAUAUGAGUUGGAAGGUCUUUGUUUUCAUAGAUUUAGCAUUUUUUAGAAGACUCAGAACUAACAACUAAGAUGCUUCAAAGCAUCAAUUAAGAAAUACAAAGACUUUCGAGGGGGAAUACAAUUAUAGAAUCAUGAGAUAUCUAUUUGGUGAUGGAAUUUUUGCUGUGGAUGGAGAAAAAUGGCGCCACCAACGAAACCUUGCAAGCUUUGAGUUCUCGACAAAAGUUUUGAAAGACUUUGGUACUUCAAUAUUCCGGAGAAAUGCUGUUAAAUUAAUCAUGAAGAUCUCGGCAGCAGCAGGAGCAAAGCAAAUAGUAGACAUGCAGGUUUUGUGCAUGUAUAAACUACAGAUUUUAGGGUACUGAUGUCAUGAUUGUUAAAAAUCUCGUUGAUGAUGAUCUCUUGAGGAAUACCAUAUCUAAAAAAUGUCCCCAAUUGCAUGUUGC